rnacentral:rRNA from 1 species
CCUACGGGAGGCAGCAGUGAGGAAUAUUGGUCAAUGGGCGAGAGCCUGAACCAGCCAAGUCGCGUGAGGGAGGACUGCCCUAUGGGUUGUAAACCUCUUUUGUCGGGGAGCAAAAGCCGGACGUGGCCGGCUGUGAGAGUACACGAAGAAAAAGCAGCGGCGAACGCCGUGCCAGCAGCCGCGGUAAUACGGAGGAUGCGAGCGUUAUCCGGAUUUAUUGGGUGUAAAGGGUGUGCAGGCGGAUUUUUAAGUCAGCGGUCAAAUCGUGGGGCUCAACCCCAUCCCGCCUUUGAAACUGGGGAUCUAGAGUGUGCGAGAGGUAUGCGGAAUGCGUGGUGUAGCGGUGAAAUGCAUAGAUAUCACGCAGAACCCCGAUUGCGAAGGCAGCUUACCGGUGCACAACUGACGCUCAGGCACGAAAGCGUGGGUAUCAAACAGGAUUAGAUACCCCAGUAGUC